GUGGCUGUAGCCAAGUGGUGAAGGCCCCGCGCUGUGACCGCGGUAUGCGUGGGUUCGAAUCCCAUCAGUCACCCCA
rnacentral:tRNA from 1 species